UACAGAGGGGGCCAGCGUUAUUCGGAAUUAUUGGGCGUAAAGGGCGCGUAGGCGGCCAUGCGUGUCUUCCGUGAAAUCCCUCGGCUUAACUGAGGACGUGCGGUAGAAACUGCAUGGCUCGAGUCCGGGAGAGGGGGGUGGAAUUCCCAGUGUAGCGGUGAAAUGCGUAGAUAUUGGGAGGAACACCGGUGGCGAAGGCGGCCCCCUGGACCGGUACUGACGCUGAGGCGCGAAAGCGUGGGUAGCAAACGGG
rnacentral:rRNA from 1 species